GGGCCCGCACAAGCAGCGGAGCGUGUGGUUAAUUCGAUGCUACACGAAGAACCUUACCAGGGUUUGACAUACAAGUAGUAGGGAAGGAAACUGGACGACCUUCGGGAGCUUGUACAGGUGCUGCAUGGUUGCCGUCAGCUCGUGUCGUGAGAUGUUGGGUUAAGUCCCGCAACGAGCGCAACCCUCGACCUUAGUUGCCAGCAUUCAGUUGGGCACUCUAAGGUGACUGCCGGCUAAAAGUCGGAGAAGUGGGGAUGACGUCAAAUCAUCAUGCCCCUUAUGACCUGGGCUACACACGUGCUACAAUGGGCGGUACAAAGGGUCGCGAACCCGCGAGGGGGAGCCAAUCCCAAAAAGCCGCUCUCAGUUCGGAUUGCAGGCUGCAACUCGCCUGCAUGAAGCCGGAAUCGCUAGUAAUCGCGGAUCAGCAUGCCGCGGUGAAUACGUUCCCGGGCCUU
rnacentral:rRNA from 1 species